ACUUAGGAAUCUGCCUAUUAGUGGGGGACAACGCACCGAAAGGAGCGCUAAUACCGCAUACGCCCUACGGGGGAAAGCAGGGGAUCUUCGGACCUUGCGCUAAUAGAUGAGCCUAAGUCGGAUUAGCUAGUUGGUGGGGUAAAGGCCUACCAAGGCGACGAUCUGUAGCGGGUUUGAGAGGAUGAUCCGCCACACUGGGACUGAGACACGGCCCAGACUCCUACGGGAGGCAGCAGUGGGGAAUAUUGGACAAUGGGCGCAAGCCUGAUCCAGCCAUGCCGCGUGUGUGAAGAAGGCCUUAUGGUUGUAAAGCACUUUAAGCGAGGAGGAGGCUUACCUAGCUAAUACCUAGGAUAAGUGGACGUUACUCGCAGAAUAAGCACCGGCUAACUCUGUGCCAGCAGCCGCGGUAAUACAGAGGGUGCAAGCGUUAAUCGGAAUUACUGGGCGUAAAGCGCGCGUAGGUGGCCAUUUAAGUCAAAUGUGAAAUCCCCGAGCUUAACUUGGGAAUUGCAUUCGAUACUGGAUGGCUAGAGUAUAGGAGAGGAAGGUAGAAUUCCAGGUGUAGCGGUGAAAUGCGUAGAGAUCUGGAGGAAUACCGAUGGCG
rnacentral:rRNA from 1 species